CCUACGGGUGGCGGCAGUGGGGAAUAUUGGACAAUGGGCGAAAGCCUGAUCCAGCCAUGCCGCGUGUGUGAAGAAGGCCUUCGGGUUGUAAAGCACUUUCAGUGGGGAAGAAAGCCUUGGGGCUAAUACCCUCGAGGAAGGACAUCACCCACAGAAGAAGCACCGGCUAACUCCGUGCCAGCAGCCGCGGUAAUACGGAGGGUGCGAGCGUUAAUCGGAAUUACUGGGCGUAAAGCGCGCGUAGGCGGUCUGAUAAGCCGGUUGUGAAAGCCCCGGGCUCAACCUGGGAACGGCAUCCGGAACUGUCAGGCUAGAGUGCAGGAGAGGAAGGUAGAAUUCCCGGUGUAGCAGUGAAAUGCGUAGAGAUCGGGAGGAAUACCAGUGGCGAAGGCGGCCUUCUGGACUGACACUGACGCUGAGGUGCGAAAGCGUGGGUAGCAAACAGGAUUAGAUACCCUAGUAGUC
rnacentral:rRNA from 1 species